UCUAACAUUAACCUUCUCACAGGGGUCCCUCCAAUGCAGAAUAUGGGCAGAAUAAGUGCUAACAAUGAAGUACCUGUCCAGAAUGAUCUAACGGCUAUGGGUCCCUCCAAUGCAGAAUAUGGGCAGAAUAAGUGCUAACAAUGAAGUACCUGUCCAGAAUGAUCUAACGGCUAUGUUUUUAGUCAGGAUUAAUCCUGACUCCAACAAGUGCACUGCCAAGGAGCAGAUGAGCAAGACGACUGAGAGAGUGGUGAAGCAGAAGAGGUCAUACAUGAACCCCCAUGUAAUCUCCUUCAUCAGGGACCUCACUGAAUUCUAUUUGCUAACUGACUAG